UCAAUAUAUACCUCCUCUCAACUACAUCGUCUUCUUCUCCGCCGAGCGCUGCGCUGCAAGAAUGGGAGCUUAUAAGUACGUGUCUGAGCUAUGGAGAAAGAAGCAAUCCGAUGUGAUGAGGUUUCUGCAAAGAGUAAGAUGCUGGGAAUAUCGCCAACACCCUUCAAUCGUUCGUGUUACGCAUCCCACUCGUCCAGAUAAGGCACGUCGAUUGGGCUAUAAGGCCAAACAGGGUUUUG
rnacentral:misc_RNA from 1 species